UUUACAGCUUUCCCAUGAUUGUGGGUAUGCAGCAGUUCCUGGCAGUCUCUAGACUAGGCCCUGCGCAUUAAGUAUUUUCCGCACUUCGUUCAUGGAGGUGUUCUCAUCUCAGUGCACAGAGGGUUACACGUGGAAAUCCCUCACACCAAGAGGACAACAUACCUCUUACUAUGACAGACAUCUGAACUGACACCUUCGUUGGCAAUCUCACCAUACCGGCCAAGGGCUGUAUGGACAUGAAGACUCAACUAUCUUCUCAUGCCUAGAGUUGGCUUACUUCUUGGAGGUUACACAGAAGAAAUGGGUUUUCAGAAGAGAUCUGGAUCAAAAGAGGGUGGUUGAUUGAUGAACUGGGGCUCUCACAGCAGGCUUGGAAGUGAUUAGAGGAAGUCACCAGAAUGCCAGGAGAAGGAGGAGAGAGACACAGUCCAGUUUGGGGCUGCUGAGGUAGAGAUCUGAUGCUAGAAUCAUGUAGAGCGAAAAGAUCAGUGAACCAAGAAAGUAUGCCACCUGAUAAUCUUAGUAUAAAAGCUCAGGAUCUGUGAAGAGGAGAAAAAGCUUAAGCAACUUUCCUUCCAACUCCGUGUGCAUCACUAAUCUCUCACUACUGGAUCCAACUGUACGUAACACUUAAAUGACCCGUUGACUCUUUCCAUUUAUUUUGCUGUGACAUGGUUUUCAAAAGGAAAUGCACACCAGGCCAUAUGGAGAUUUUGCUGUUAGAUUCACCUUUUCCAAAAAGUGAACAUGCAUGUGGAUUACAAAACAUGGAGAGCCAGCUCCUCAGCUGAUGUAAAUCAGCACAGCUUCUUUUAACAUCUGUCCUUGAGAGCAGAGGGGAUACGUGGGCGGGGUGGGGGGGCAUCAGCAAGUACAGGUCACCUCUGCCAGAGAGAGAUUGUUUUGUUUAUUACGAGUCUUUGUGCCAAUAGUGUACUGUCUCUUUAAAAGAGGCAGAUUUGUUUUCACAAACUCAACAAGGCUUAAGAAAAUCAAUUGUGUGCUUUUGUUGAGGAAGGAAGGGAAAGUAUAAGGAAAGUCAGCAACUUUAGAAGCUCAGUACUCAUUUUUGCUGUUGCAUAGCCUGUAGCCCUUAACAGGUAUAUUAGUUUUAAGCAGACUCAAAAUGGCAUUUACAGGUUUCAUCUUACUUCUUGAGAAUUUUCUGACAGCUUUUGGCCUGCAUUACCUGUUGUAAGUUUCACUAAUU